GACGAACGCUGGCGGCGUGCUUAACACAUGCAAGUCGAACGAAGUGGCGGACGGGUGAGUAACGCGUAAUCAACCUGCCCUUCAGGGGGGGACAACAGUUGGAAACGACUGCUAAUACCGCAUACUGAAGGGGGGGAUGGCGUCGGAUUAGCUAGGUGGAGGGGUAACGGCCAACAAAGGCGAAGAUCAGUAGCCGGGCUGGGAGGAUGGACGGCCACCUUGGGACUGAGACACGGCCCAGACUCCUACGGGAGGCAGCAGUGGGGAAUUAUCCGAAAUGGACGAAAGUCUGACGGAGCAACGCCGCGGGAGUGAUGACGGCCUUCGGGUUGUAAAGCUCUGUUAAUCGGGACGCGUUACCGGAAUAGAAAGCCACGGCUAACUACGUGCCAGCAGCCGCGGUAAUUC
rnacentral:rRNA from 1 species